AUUGCACGCUGGCGGCAGGCCUAACACAUGCAAGUCGAACGAGUGGCGGACGGGUGAGUAAUGUCUGGGAAACUGCCCGAUGGAGGGGGAUAACUACUGGAAACGGUAGCUAAUACCGCAUACCAUCGGAUGUGCCCAGAUGGUAUUAGCUAGUAGGUGGGGUAACGGCUCACCUAGGCGACGAUCCCGAGCUGGUCUGAGAGGAUGACCAGCCACACUGGAACUGAGACAAGGUCCAGGCUCCUACGGUAGGCAGAAGUGGGGAAUAUGGCACAAGGGGCGAAAGCCUGAUGCAGCCAGGCCGCGUGUAUGAAGAAGGCCUUAGGGUUGGAAAGUACUUUCAGCGAGGAGGCGUUACUCGCAGAAGAAGCACCGGCUAACUCCGUGCCAGCAGCCGCGGUAAUUC
rnacentral:rRNA from 1 species